rnacentral:lncRNA from 1 species
GUUGCUUUCUUGGCCACCCAACUUUUUCUUGACUAAGCAUGCCUCGUAUGAAAAUUGAAGAGAACGUACAUUUUUUACAGCAUAUAGGCAGUGAGGAUGAGUUAGGUGAUUCAUUAAAGCCAAUUGUAUAAUAGUAUCAUCGUGCUGCUUCUAAGCUAAUUCUUUUAUCAUGUUGCUGGGCAAAUUUUUAGAAAUUUAAUCUAAGCCAAUCACUUAUGCAAUACGGUAGCGGGUAUCACAAGGAGUGACACUAGAGUGGCUUAUUUGAGGGGAGUAGGCAGUGUGGUCUUUUAUUCAUGUUCAUGGAACUCAAGACUCCUGAAAGCGCCCCCAGGUUGAAUUUUCCAUGUCUAGUGCACUAUUAAAAGACAGAACCCGCUGCUGUGAGGCAAGGGAGCACCGAAAAUCAGACAAAUUGGUAUCUUGCCUUGCUGCAGUGGCUGCUCUUUUAAGUCUGGUAAUCCAAGCUGCAGCUCCAGGAGUCCCCUCGGAUUUGGCCAGCAGCUGGUAUGAAAUUUUUUUUUUAGAUGAAGCAGAACUGCCAGGGAAUAGAAUAAGUGUAUCGAGCUGGAAAGGAAAUUCCUUAUAUUAGGGAAUUCGACAUUUGGUCCAUUUGCUCAAUGGGAGGGUGACCACGUCGCUUACUGAACCUGGUUAGCUUAGUCCAAAUUGGUUAAAUUAGGCGUUUUCCGUGAAAUCAGAU